ACCAGGAGAACAGCAGGUAUCUGCCGUUCCCCUAGUGGACACCAGGAGAACAGCAGGUCUCUGCCGUUCCCCUAGUGGACACCAGGAGAACAGCAGGUCUCUGCCGUUCCCCUAGUGGACACCAGGAGAACAGCAGGUAUCUGCCGUUCCCCUAGUGGACACCAGGAGAACAGCAGGUAUCUGCCGUUCCCCUAGUGGACACCAGGAGAACAGCAGGUCUCUGCCGUUCCCCUAGUGGACACCAGGAGAACAGCAGGUCUCUGCCGUUCCCCUAGUGGACACCAGGAGAACAGCAGGUCUCUGCCCCAAACAUUAGCAAACGGCUCCAUCUGGUGUUAAACAACAGAACGUCCAGUGUUGAAGCAGAGCUCCAGAUUA